rnacentral:tRNA from 1 species
GGUGGGUUGGCUCAGUGGUUAGAGCGUAGGUCUCGUAAAGGAAAGGUUGCGGGAUCGAAUCCCGCUAGAGGCUG